rnacentral:tRNA from 1 species
AGACGUAUGGCUUAGCGGGCAGAGCGCUUGGACGUUUUCCAACAGGCGUAGGUUCAAUCCCGCUACGUUGA